UUCGGUAAACGUAAACUUAUAUCUGAACUUAGGCCUCGUUCAAGGAAACUCUGUUAUAGGGACAUACGGUAAAGCUCCGGUUCCGUCGAUAUAUAUAGGAAGAUAUAUAGGUAACAGAAAGGGCAGCUAGAGUAUGUCGGGGGAACGGGAAAAAGGGAAACCCGUUGAAGCGCGGUUGGUGUUUUAUAUAUAUAUAUAAAUAAUAAUAAUAGGCAUUCAUUAAUAUGUAUAUGUGUGUAGUAACAAGGAGGUUUCGGGGAUAUUAGAUAAUUUGUUAAAUAAUAACUAAUAGUGUGUAUGGAUCUAAAAAUGUAUAAUAGAUCGGGAGAAACAUAGUGAAAUAUUGGUAUAAACUGGGCUUAAACGUUUUAGCUUAAACGGUUGUUGGGGCCAGGAUAGAGAAAAAAAAUCAGCCAGGGACAGAGAGCGUAGAGAGUGUAUGAAUUUUUAAUCUCGAUUUCACCCGAGAUGUAGACCCGGACCUGGACUGCACCGGCGGACCGCGUGCGAAUCCCCCUCCACCUCCACCGUAUGACGACAACGCCCAGGCCGCCGCCCCAUCAUUCAACCUCUAUCCAGACCUCACGGCAAAGGAGGCACCCGCUAACAGCGCAACAUGGGUUAUGGCAGUCUGGCAUACGUUUUCCGUGCAUGGAGACCCAGUGACAUUAAGGACAUAGCAGAAUGUCUCCCGGACCCAUCUGCAGUGGGAGGGGAAUCCCUCGCUACAGCCAGUCUGGAAAUGGCCCAUCACCCAUCGGCGAACCACGCCAAGUCAAACUGGGCCUACGGUGGGGUCGUAUUCAAGGCGACAUUCCCGGGAGAGACCAAUAAGCUGAUAUAAUGUUCGUGGAGGCGCCGGACGGCAAGGACGACCACAGGAAAGUGGGGAAGCACAGAGGCAGGCCUGCUUUCGUUGUGGCGUCAUGGAUCCUUGGUUCAACGAUUCUCCCAAAAGAAUCGACAAAGACAAUGGAAGGGCCGGCUGGCAGUUCGCUCCUUCCCGUGAAGUGACUUUGAAUCAUCCAAGAGGCAGAGGUGGAAGGGGGCAUUUGCAUUGACGGGACGCAGGAGCAGGCCAGGUCCAAGGAGGAGGUAUGAACACCAUAACACAUAACACAACCAACACGCAAAAUGGUCUCAGCGUCACAACGCACGCAAGCACCACAUCCAAAUGAUUGUUGUAUGGUUCUCACCAGCCUUACGCGACCUGAUCAGCUAAAUAUAAUAUUUUAUAUGGUUAUUAUAUAUAGUUAUUAUAUAUGGUUAUGGUAAACAACGGGCUAUUGUAGACAGUGGAUACUCGAUUUUUACAAUCUAUCACAACCAGUUUAAUGGUCAACCAUAUCACACAGCCAUGACAUGACCCCAACUGACCCAGACUAACCCCGACUGACCCCCGACUGACAACGUGACGGGGACAAGUGUAUUGCCUAAUAUUGAAAAUGCAGAUUUUUAUAUUAUGAUAUUUUGUUAAUGUUUUAUGGCCAAAAUGGCAACAAGGUGAAUUGACGAACGUAUGAGAGUGAUUGGAAGAAGUAUGUGUUAUGGAAGGAGAAGAGAUAGAUGAGAACGGAAGGCAAGACAAGAUAAGGAAAGGGGUGGGGAGAAAGAUAACCCAUCUGCAUCGAGUUUUGUUCAAAUAGAUCCGGACCUGGACAACGCUCCUCCUUCUCCUGCUUUCAGCCCGACCAGUGGCCCAAUACAGUGCAAAUACCCCACGUCACGACUCCUCUACAUCAGACUUUAUGAAGUCACAGACCAUGGGAGGCCCACCUGAAGAGCUACGGACCGGUCUGCUGGACGACACAAGGAGACAGUCCAGCAGGACCAACAGCACCAGAGUGGUGGCCUCCACGGUGCCUGUGUAGCCACAUUGAAGUGGCCUGAACAUUGAGACAAAGGAGGGUCUCAGAGACGGGAGAGACGUGGGGACAGGAACUUCAAAGGACAGCCCGUGAUGCGGAUGAGAGGCAGGAAGCAGAGAGAGAGGUGGAGGCGUGUCCAGGCGGAUGGAGAGAAGAGCAGUGUCCCUCAGAGACAUCAUGAAGGACAAUGGGAAAGAGAAGAGGAAUACCGUUUAAA